UGGGGAAUAUUGCACAAUGGGCGCAAGCCUGAUGCAGCCAUGCCGCGUGUAUGAAGAAGGCCUUCGGGUUGUAAAGUACUUUCAGCGAGGAGGAAGGCGUUGUGGUUAAUAACCGCAGCGAUUGACGUUACUCGCAGAAGAAGCACAGGCUAACUCCGUGCCAGCAGCCGCGGUAAUACGGAGGGUGCAAGCGUUAAUCGGAAUUACUGGGCGUAAAGCGCACGCAGGCGGUCUGUCAAGUCGGAUGUGAAAUCCCCGGGCUCAACCUGGGAACUGCAUCCGAAACUGGCAGGCUAGAGUCUUGUAGAGGGGGGUAGAAUUCCAGGUGUAGCGGUGAAAUGCGUAGAGAUCUGGAGGAAUACCGGUGGCGAAGGCGGCCCCCUGGACAAAGACUGACGCUCAGGUGCGAAAGCGUGGGGAGCAAACA
rnacentral:rRNA from 1 species